GGGGUUAUGUAGCAGAGUCGGGUUCAGUCUCCAGGUCCAGGGGCGCGCUACGUUUGGGAUUUUUAUUGUUAGGGCUAUGUCCGCGUGAUCUGACCAUGUUAUGUUGCCUAUGGUGGCUGUGUGGACCAUGGGUAGGAGGGAGGGGGAAAUCAAAAAUAGGUCUAUACGUGAGUAAGAGUUGUGUGGGUGUGAAAAGAAUGUAAAGUCAUGUGUGGUUGGGUGUAGAGCUCGCCACACGUCAACCAAUCGUGUUUGGAGGGUGAAUGCUUGUAGCAGUUUAUCUACUUUGGUUGUAGGGGCUGUGUCUUGCCCGUGUUUGCGGGUGCGGUGUCUGUCUGUCGCCGGUGACAACGUAGCAUUGCAAUCUCCUCCAAUAAUUUUGAGGUGGCCUGGGGUCAGUGUCAGGUGGGCCUGUAGUGUAUCCCAGAAUGAUUUGUCAGGGAUGUUCGGUGCAUAGAGUGUUGUGAUGGCAUAUUUGUUGGGGCCUGCCUGGCCUGUGAGUGUCAGGAACCUGCCUUGGGGGUCUCUAAUGACUUGUGUUACGUUUAGGGGACAUGUCUUGCGUAGCAGUAUGGCUACUCCAUUCUGUUUGGUGUUGGGGGAGUUAGCAGUGUAGCAUUCUCUAAAGUGUCGGCUGAGGAGGGGAAACGGUUUGGUCUGGGUGAAGUGAGUUUCUUGUAGAAGUAUUAUAUCUGCUCCUGUGCGGUUCGCCCACCUCAUGAGUCGGUGUCUCUUCGCUGGAUUGUUGAGGCCUUUGCAGUUAAUGGAAAUGCAGGUGAGUUUGGCAGUCAUAGCGUCUGGAUGUUCUCACAGGGGGUGUUGUUUUCUGGGGUUAUUCGUGUGUAUGUGUUAGGGCGGUGCGCCUGGUUAUGAGGAGGGAUAAGGUAAGGGAGGGGGAUGAGGCAGGGGGGUGAGGGUGUGUAUGCCUAGGUUUCGUUUCAAGGAUUGAGUUCUGGGGUUUUACGCCCCGGUGGGGUAUCUGUGUAUGUAGGGACGGGUUGGUCG